AUUAGUUGAAGACGCAAUAUUAGACAAUCCAUGUCUUUGUGAUAAUAUAAGGAGGCUGGACGGCACUUUUUGAUAUACUGUUAGUGUUUUUCAGCUUUACAAUAGACAGUCGCUAUGGUGAGCUGAGAGACACCGUGGAUGUUUGUCUUAUGAGCUGAUGAUGAAGUUCGAUGAAGAACCGAGACCAUAGGAGUAAAUGUCCAGAGACAAGAACAGCUGCCACAGACCAUGGGAGUUUUCUGUGUGGAUAUGAGAGGAUGACGAGGGAAUGUGAUCAAGAGCUGAGACCAUGAGAUAUACAGGCCCCACAUCAUACUAGCCCAUUUUGCUGCAUUUGUCUACAAAGUUUUUUUGUUCAUGAAUUACAGUUCUUUUUGGAUACACGUUCCGUGCAAUUUAAUGUACGGAUAUUUGUAUUUAUUUGCACUAAAGUUGUCAACUUGUAAGACUUACAAGUAUAUAUUCUCUAAGUUGAGUAUAAAUGUAUUCAUUCCUACAGGAAAUGCAUGUCAUUUCUCCAGAUUUUGCAUUAAGAAUUUUUUAUGUAUAUGGAAUAUAAAUGUGUUAAUUUUUAGUGAAAGUAAAUGUUUCAUUUUUUUUAUUUUAACUUCAUUGAUUCAGGUAGCUGAUAUUUUACACCGCAGAGUGUAAGUCUGUCUAUUCUGACAGAAAUAUUGUUUCAAAAUUUGGACAAGUUGACUCCUAGAUUGCAGCACUCUCACAUAGUUCUUGCCUGUCCUGAUAUCCUAUGUUCCUACAAUGUCCAUUGUUAUACUUUUCACAGAAACCUGGAAGGUGUUCACUCAGAUGCUGUGCUGGGAUGUCAGAAGACUGCUGUAGUUCCAGUUGCAGAAAUCCCUUUCAACAAACCGACCUGAUUUCAAGAUCACACAAGUGACUAGGUGAUGCCAUUGAGGGAAGUUAACACCCACCAGUAUUUAAGAUAGAAGGAUUUUAUUUUAGUUUUGAUGUAUAUAUUUUAUUAUUUCAUUCUGUCUUAAAAAUAAAACAGAUGAAUGCCAGGUCCCACCCUUCCUCCCAUACCUCAUGCUGGUGCCUAUAUCAAGAUUUUAUUUUAAUUUUAUUUUUUGAUGUAAGUAUUUUGUUUCAUUGUGUCUCAAUAAAGCAGAUGAAUGCCAGGUACCCCCCCUUCCUCCCAUCCCUGAUGCUAGUGCCCAUAUCAAGAUUUUAUUUUAAUUCAGUUUUUGAUUUAAAUGUUUUACAAUUUCAUUCUGUCUUAAAAAUAAAACAGAUGAA